rnacentral:lncRNA from 1 species
AAGACCAUAACGGAACAACAUGAGCACUGAGGGAAGAAAAGAAACACUCGUUCUGAUGUGGAAGAGUAGAUCCCAUCUCCCAUCCCAUACUAGAUAGAUAGGCAAGGAAGAUCCAUAGGUAGGCUGUGUUUGUCAAUUGAAGUAUAUACCAAAUGAAUCCAAUCAAUCAGGUAUUUGUGCGUCACAAAUUUGAGGAAAAUAUAAAAUAAAAACCAUGGUUUUGUAACUGAACACGUGAUGCAUGUUUGUUUGGGACCGAACGCAACAACGAACAGCCACAAGGUUGGUCCCCCCUCUUUCGGUUAAUUCUGGAUUGGAUUGGAUUGGAUUGGAUUGAAUUGGACUGGCGUGUGUAUCUGCGUCUUGCGCUUUAUCAGCUGCUAUGGAUUGGAUUUUGUGAGACUUUUU